AACGAACGCUGACGGCAGGCUUAACACAUGCAAGUCGAGCGCCCCGAAAGGGGAGCGGCAGACGGGUGAGUAACGCGUGGGAAUCUACCUAUCUCUACGGAAUAACGCAUGGAAACGUGUGCUAAUACCGUAUACGUCCUUCGGGAGAAAGAUUUAUCGGAGAUGGAUGAGCCCGCGUUGGAUUAGCUAGUUGGUGGGGUAAAGGCCUACCAAGGCGACGAUCCAUAGCUGGUCUGAGAGGAUGAUCAGCCACACUGGGACUGAGACACGGCCCAGACUCCUACGGGAAGCAGCAGUGGGGAAUAUUGGACAAUGGGCGCAAGCCUGAUCCAGCCAUGCCGCGUGAGUGAUGAAGGCCCUAGGGUUGUAAAGCUCUUUCACCGGUGAAGAUAAUGACGGUAACCGGAGAAGAAGCCCCGGCUAACUUCGUGCCAGCCGCCGCGGUAACAC
rnacentral:rRNA from 1 species